ensembl:lncRNA
CCACUUCUAAAGUGAAAAUUACGUCCAUGGUAGACAGAAUAUGUAGGCCUUAUGUACAUGCUCCAUACUAAGAAUGUUUUAAAAGGUCAGUCAUGAGUACAGUGUUAUUUUUUUCUCCACGAAAACAACUAUGCAGUGUAAAGUAUCAAAUCAAGAAAAAACUUAUGUUCCUUCAUUUCGAUCCAUAUUGUACUUUUUUGUACGUUGUUAAUCAAAAGUAUUCCUGUUUUGCUUUAAGGUCUUGCAGCGUUUCUACCACAGUGAUUGCCUGAAAUAAAAAAAUAAAAAGAUGAUAAAAAAGUUGCUUUAAUUUUAAACCUUUAAAAAAUAAGCUGUAGAUCACACAUUAAAUGAGUGUAACAAGAAACAUUUUUUUGGUGUCAAUUCAAUAUUGUAUGUCAUACAAGUUAAACUAAUGAAUACCUGUAAAAAGCAAAACUUUAAUUGAAUGUACAUGUAAUCCAGUUUUUAUUUACAUAUGAAAUUCAUUAUUACACUUUUGCUUUACCAGUUUGCAGAGUGCAUUCUCAGUGGCUCUCCUGUGGCAUUUGACAACUCACCAAAAGCAAUCAAUGCUAUUAGAGAGCAGAUUGCUGUCUGCCUCUUGGAAAACACAGAUGACUUGACAGGAGUGUGUUAUCUUUGUGACAUGACAUACGGCAACACUCACUGGAUUGGAUGUGAUGUGUGCCCAAGAUGGUACCACCAAAAGUGCCUGAGUAAGCCACCAAAAAGAAAGAAAGAAGAAUAUGUCUGUGAAGCAUGUCUGUAAAGACACUGUAUAUGGUUUGAUUAAACAUAUUUGUACCUAUUUCUGUGGUUAAUUGUAAAUAGUUUCUUGAGAUGUUUCUCCUAUUUUAACUGUAAAUCCUUCUAGCUGUUAUAUUUAUAACAAGAAACAGAUAUUCGGACAGAAUAUUUUCAUGUUUAUUCGAAUAUGAUUGUGGAACACACCCAGCAUCAUAAUAAAUGAAGUAAUAUUCAUGUCAAUUUAACCCUUUACAGGUGACCAGGACACUGUGAUCACUUUUUGGCAAGGGAAAUGAUCAUUUGUUGCCAUUUUUGAGGUGUUUAUGAAUGUGGAAAAGACCCAGCAUCCUGUGAUGGCACUAAUAACAUCAAGAGAUAAUAAACAAAGUAAUAUUUAGAUAAAUUUAACACUUUAUAGGUGACCGAGCCGAUCUUGCACCCGAGCAGAUCUUGUACCGACACCGGCGCGCAAAGCAUGCUGGGAUAGCCUUGUUCUACAGAGAAAUCCAGGAAAACCAAAUGAUGUGGAAGGCCAAUGGUGUUGCAGGUCACACCCACUGGCUUGACCGACGGACUGCUGUACAGUCUCAUUAUGAAAUAAAGCAGCCAUAGGAAAAAAAACAUCAAAACACUAUUAUUAAAUAAAGGCUGUCUUUGUUAAAAAGAUGUUAUGUAAUAAAAACUGAAUGAAUUGAAUAAAAGAAGCUCAAUAUUAAUUUGGAUUAUUAUAAAAAAUGACUUUUGAAAAAAAAACUUUAUAUUAAUAGACAUUUUAAAAGAAGAAUGAAACAUAUUUCAUAAUAUUGAGCUUAGAUUUUACAUAACAUUCUGUUAUUUCAUCAUUUCAUUGUCAGCCUGACGAGUUUGCAGCCGCAAAUGAAACGUUGCAGGUAAAUAAAACCUUUCUGUGUUUUAAAAAGAACUAAAAGAUGCAAUUUCAUUGUCAGAUUACAUGAUUGUCUAGUAUUUCUUCAUGUAGAUAUUUAUUUCAUAAUGUCUUAUUUAGUUAUUGAUUUUUGAAUACUUUUGGGUUCUAUAAAAACA